rnacentral:piRNA from 1 species
AACAGAUGAGGAAGAACUCAGAAAACCAAG